rnacentral:rRNA from 1 species
ACGGGUGAGUAACGCGUGAGGAACCUGCCUCAAAGAGGGGGACAACAGUUGGAAACGACUGCUAAUACCGCAUAAGCCCACGGCUCGGCAUCGAGCAGAGGGAAAAGGAGUGAUCCGCUUUGAGAUGGCCUCGCGUCCGAUUAGCUGGUUGGUGAGGUAAUGGCCCACCAAGGCGACGAUCGGUAGCCGGACUGAGAGGUUGAACGGCCACAUUGGGACUGAGACACGGCCCAGACUCCUACGGGAGGCAGCAGUGGGGAAUAUUGCACAAUGGGGGAAACCCUGAUGCAGCGACGCCGCGUGGAGGAAGAAGGUCUUCGGAUUGUAAACUCCUGUUGUUGAGGAAGAUAAUGACGGUACUCAACAAGGAAGUGACGGCUAACUACGUGCCAGCAGCCGCGGUAAAACGUAGGUCACAAGCGUUGUCCGGAAUUACUGGGUGUAAAGGGAGCGCAGGCGGGAGGACAAGUUGGAAGUGAAAUCCAUGGGCUCAACCCAUGAACUGCUUUCAAAACUGUUUUUCUUGAGUAGUGCAGAGGUAGGCGGAAUUCCCGGUGUAGCGGUGGAAUGCGUAGAUAUCGGGAGGAACACCAGUGGCGAAGGCGGCCUACUGGGCACCAACUGACGCUGAGGCUCGA